rnacentral:rRNA from 1 species
UAUUUAUUAGAUAAAAAACCAAUGCCCUUCGGGGCUCCUUGGUGAUUCAUAAUAACUUAACGAAUCGCAUGGCCUUGCGCCGGCGAUGGUUCAUUCAAAUUUCUGCCCUAUCAACUUUCGAUGGUAAGAUAGUGGCUUACCAUGGUCUCAACGGGUAACGGGGAAUUAGGGUUCUAUUCCGGAGAGGGAGCCUGAGAAACGGCUACCACAUCCAAGGAAGGCAGCAGGCGCGCAAAUUACCCAAUCCCGACACGGGGAGGUAGUGACAAUAAAUACUGAUACAGGGCUCUUUUGGGUCUUGUAAUUGGAAUGAGUACAAUUUAAACCUCUUAACGAGGAACAAUUGGAGGGCAAGUCUGGUGCCAGCAGCCGCGGUAAUUCCAGCUCCAAUAGCGUAUAUUAAAGUUGUUGCAGUUAAAAAGCUCGUAGUUGAAACUUGGGCCUGGCUGGCAGGUCCGCCUCACCGCGUGUACUUGUCCGGCCGGGCCUUUCCUUCUGGAGAACCUCAUGCCCUUCACUGGGUGUGUUGGGGAACCAGGACUUUUACUUUGAAAAAAUUAGAGUGUUCAAAGCAGG